rnacentral:rRNA from 1 species
AUGCCCAUGUUUCAUGAGUUUUAUAUCGAAACUCUGGACAUGGGUAGGAUUAACUAUGGUAUCAUAUCUCUGAUCCCCAAAGUAGUUGGGGCAACGGAUAUUCGGCAAUUCCAUCCCAUCAUGAUGAUCAAUGUGUUGGAGCGAAUCUUUGCGAAGGUUUGUGCGGCCUGUUUAUCCCCCAUGGAAGAAAGGAUUGCCCACCCCCUUCACUCCGCGUUCUUGAAGGGCCGGCGGAUCCAUGACGGGAUUCUUGCCCUUCACGAUAUUGUCCAUGAUGUGGCGUCGAAGGGGCUUAAGGGGGUUUUCCUCAAAUUGGACUUCCAGAAGGCAUAUGACCGUCUGGACUGGUCCUUUUUGAGGUUG